GGUCCUGUAGCUUAGCUUGGUUAAAGCGCUCGGCUGAUAACCGAGAGAGCCUGAGUCCAAAUCUCAGCAGGACCACCA
rnacentral:tRNA from 1 species